UUCUUUUUGAAGGAGAAGAAGAUCAUCUGAUUCCCUCCACUUCUCAUCUCCUUUUGGAGAGUGACUUCUUUGUUGUUGCUGGCCGAAUGAUUGGACAUUCAUUCCUCCAUGAUGGGCCAUGCCUAGGUGGACUGAGCCCAGCUGUCCUGCAUGUGCUCUUUGGUGGAUCCCCGGAAGAAGCCACAAUAGAUAUUAAGGACUGUGUUGACCUUGAUAUCCGUGAGACAAUCAAGUUGCUGGAGGGAACAGCAUAAUUAUCAUUAGAAGAAAAAAACCUCAUCAAUGAGUUGGCACUGUCCUGGGAUUUGCCUCUAGUCACAUGUGACAACAGGAGAUGGCUAUUUGAUAAACUGAUCCUCCAUGCUGUCCUUGGAAGAACCUCCAGACAAGUCAAGCAGUUACGAAGGGGUUUAAAAGAGACACUGAUCUGGCCUCUGCUAACGGAGAGGAAAGACACGAUUCCCCUUCUCUUUCCAAGAGCAUCUGAUUUGCAGUGCACAUCACGG